AUGCAAGUCGAACGAGGUCCACUGAGUAGCAAUACAAGGGAAGACCUAGUGGCGAACGGGUGAGUAUCACGUGAGAAACCAACCCCGGUCUCUGGGAUAACAGUUGGAAACGACUGCUAAUACUGGAUGUCGUCGUACCCUCGCAUGGGGGGAUGACGAAAGGGUUACCGGAUCGGGACGGUCUCGCGGCCUAUCAGCUUGUUGGGGAGGUAACGGCUCACCAAGGCUUCGACGGGUAGCUGGUCUGAGAGGAUGAUCAGCCACACUGGGACUGAGACACGGCCCAGACUCCUACGGGAGGCAGCAGUGGGGAAUCUUGCGCAAUGGGCGAAAGCCUGACGCAGCAACGCCGCGUGCGGGAUGAAGGCCUUCGGGUUGUAAACCGCUUUUAACAGGAACGAAAAUGACGGUACCUGUAGAAUAAGGUGCGGCCAACUACGUGCCAGCAGCCGCGGUGACACGUAGGCACCAAGCGUUGUCCGGUUUUAUUGGGCGUAAAGAGCUCGUAGGCGGUUCAGUAAGUCGGGUGUGAAAACUCUGGGCUUAACCCAGAGACGCCACUCGAUACUACUGUGACUAGAGUUCGGUAGGGGAGCGGUGAAUUCCUAGUGUAGCGGUGAAAUGCGCAGAUAUUAGGAGGAACACCGGUGGCGAAGGCGCCGCUCUGGGCCGAUACUGACGCUGAGGAGCGA
rnacentral:rRNA from 1 species